rnacentral:rRNA from 1 species
UACGUAGGGUGCGAGCGUUGUCCGGAAUUAUUGGGCGUAAAGAGCUUGUAGGCGGUCUGUCGCGUCUGCUGUGAAAAUCCGGGGCUCAACCCCGGACUUGCAGUGGGUACGGGCAGACUAGAGUGUGGUAGGGGAGACUGGAAUUCCUGGUGUAGCGGUGAAAUGCGCAGAUAUCAGGAGGAACACCGGUGGCGAAGGCGGGUCUCUG